GGCUGUUCUUGGGUGAUGCACCCUGGAAUCAGGCUCCCUCCUCUCCAGUUCAAGGUGUGUCACCCGAGAACUGCA
rfam:Myotis davidii contig51652, whole genome shotgun sequence.